GGGGGGGGGGGGGAAAGUGAGUGGCUUAGGGGUCACUUAUGACCUCUACCCCUCUUGUAACGUCAAAUAAUAACCCUAAUUACAGCUUAUGGACAAUAUUGCUCUUAUUUAGAGACAUAAGAGAAAUAAGGACUAUAUAUAAAUGACAGUUAUGUCCAUCAAAUACAAUAAAGCUUAUUCUUUUUAUUUCUAACAACAAGCAAUGGUGCUUCAGUUUUCAAAUGUUGAAUUAACUGGCCUUGAAUGCUUUAAGGCAAUAUCUCAAUUUUUGGAUGGUAUAAUUGGGAAACUCCUGACAGCUGCCAAUAGUUUCAGGUCUAAGUGGACAAUAAUAUGUAGCCUUUGUUCAUCUUUUAGAAUUGGAUGCCUGAGGAAGAUAACCAAUCUGGACCAUCGAUUCACACAAGCUGCAUCACCAUAAUAUCACAUAGAAAUAGAUAAUUGCAUGCAUAUAUGCUUAUGCUAACAAGUGCCAAAGCAGGAAAUUUCCCUGAAUUUUCCAUCCUCUUGUUUACUGUCAAUGAUGCAUAAUUUCCACACCCCUUUCAAUCUGUAUAAGACCAUCAUAUUACAUAGUAUAAAGGAGAAAUUCCUAUAUAUUUUUGUCUACAAGCUCCAGAUUGCAAAUUUCUAGGAAAGUUCAUUCUCUCAAUUACUACAACGUAUAGGUACUUCUCAUUCAAUUCCAUAUAAAAUUGCAAAGGUGUCACAAUGGGCACCAUUAAUAUUGUCCACAGGUAUGUGUUCGUUUGGGAUGCCACAUGUGUGGGGUUGUGGCUUGCAAAGUCUAUAUUCCAACUUUGCACUUGUUUAGUGCAUAAUAUGAGCACAAUGGUCUCAAUGAAGAAAUUUUCCAUAACGUCAAAUAACGAGGGUGGUGAAUGGAAAGGACCGAGGCAGCUGCGCCUGGCUUCAAAAACUUGAUAUGGUUAUUUUGCAGUGUGUGUGUGGUCUGGAUUUGGAUAUGAAGCCAAUUCUGUUGUGCCCAUGGUGGAAUCUCGAAUAUAUUGCAUUAAAUGGACUGACGUUAUCAAGCCUUACUUUCCAUUGAAUUGCCCUUGUGGUUUUGCACUUGAACUCACCAUAAUCAAUGAGCAGGAGUAAACCAUAGAUUUAUGGACUCUCAGAAUGAUUUUAUUUCCUAUUUCCUUAAUUAUUUACUUUUCUCUUCCUAAUAAUGUCACUUAAUCUAAUUUCUUUUGUAUAGGAGAACUAAAGGAGACCAAGACAUAUCACAAAUGGGUGAAGAAGAUUGCUGAAAGACAGCCACCCAUAGACCCUCUGCGACCAAAAAAAUCCAAGAAGAAAGCUGAAACAGAUCUAAUGGCUGCCAUCUCGCAACGCAGAGAGGCAAGGAAAGAGCUGAUUGAUUCCAUGUUCUCGUCCUUCCUAACAAAAUAUGGUGACAAAAGCCAAAAUGGCAAUAAAUUUGGUUCUGAACCAACAGCAGAAGAGUUUGAAGCUGCUAGAAAGAGACUGGAAGCCGGCAAGCAAAAGAAGAAAGCGAAGUCUUGACUAUGUUUUGGUUAUGUAAAGAAUUGUUGCUAUCAAAGUACUGUCUUUUCUGAAAAAUUGUUUGCUCUGUUUUAUUACAUUAACAACAAUGAAAGCAACAGAAAUGCUAUGCAGCAAUAUCCAGUGGCUGGAAUCUGGCUACUAGGUAUUUCUGGGAGCAGCAUGGUGUGUUCUUGGUUUUGAUAUUUUCAGUCUUCAUCUUUGAAUUCCCUGCGAAAUGGAAUUUGUAUUAAUAGCAAGAAAAAACUUAUAAUGCAAGAAGUUCAGUUAUUUGAGUUUCUGAUGUAAAUACGCCUAAAAUAAUGAAUGUGAGUGUUUGUCA